AGAUACCAGGCCGCUGCGACUGUUUAUUAAAAACACAGCACUCUGCAAACACGAAAGUGGACGUAUAGGGUGUGACGCCUGCCCGGUGCCGGAAGGUUAAUUGAUGGGGUUAGCGCAAGCGAAGCUCUUGAUCGAAGCCCCGGUAAACGGCGGCCGUAACUAUAACGGUCCUAAGGUAGCGAAAUUCCUUGUCGGGUAAGUUCCGACCUGCACGAAUGGCGUAACGAUGGCGGCGCUGUCUCCACCCGAGACUCAGUGAAAUUGAAAUCGCUGUGAAGAUGCAGUGUAUCCGCGGCUAGACGGAAAGACCCCGUGAACCUUUACUAUAGCUUUGCACUGGACUUUGAGCUUGCUUGUGUAGGAUAGGUGGGAGGCUUUGAAGUGGGGACGCCAGUUCGCGUGGAGCCAACCUUGAAAUACCACCCUGGCAACUUUGAGGUUCUAACUCAGGUCCGUUAUCCGGAUCGAGGACAGUGUAUGGUGGGUAGUUUGACUGGGGCGGUCUCCUCCUAAAGAGUAACGGAGGAGUACGAAGGUGCGCUCAGACCGGUCGGAAAUCGGUCGUAGAGUAUAAAGGCAAAAGCGCGCUUGACUGCGAGACAGACACGUCGAGCAGGUACGAAAGUAGGUCUUAGUGAUCCGGUGGUUCUGUAUGGAAGGGCCAUCGCUCAACGGAUAAAAGGUACUCCGGGGAUAACAGGCUGAUACCGCCCAAGAGUUCAUAUCGACGGCGGUGUUUGGCACCUCGAUGUCGGCUCAUCACAUCCUGGGGCUGAAGCCGGUCCCAAGGGUAUGGCUGUUCGCCAUUUAAAGUGGUACGCGAGCUGGGUUUAGAACGUCGUGAGACAGUUCGGUCCCUAUCUGCCGUGGACGUUUGAGAUUUGAGAGGGGCUGCUCCUAGUACGAGAGGACCGGAGUGGACGAACCUCUGGUGUUCCGGUUGUCACGCCAGUGGCAUUGCCGGGUAGCUAUGUUCGGAAUAGAUAACCGCUGAAAGCAUCUAAGCGGGAAACUAGCCUCAAGAUGAGAUCUCACUGGAACCUUGAGUUCCCUGAAGGGCCGUCGAAGACUACGACGUUGAUAGGUUGGGUGUGUAAGCGCUGUGAGGCGUUGAGCUAACCAAUACUAAUUGCCCGUGAGGCUUGACCAU
rnacentral:rRNA from 1 species